AACAUUGCUAACAAACAACCACGACCUCGAAUCAAGCCGUUGAAGUGAAAUUUUUCGCCUCACAACCUUUACCAAGCCUAUUAAAAAAUCGGACAAUUCCAAUGGUAAGAUUGAACGACAGAUUCACGAACAGAAUCGAAGAAGAAGAAUAAUGAAACAAAAGAUUUACUAAGGAAGGGAAAAACGUCAAAAACCACACAAAAAAAUUGAAGAAAACAUGAGAGGGAAAUUUUGGAGAAGAGAAAAAAGAAUUUUGAAAAAAAAAGAAAUAAAUAAAAAAUAACAAUAUAAUCAAAAUAAACCCCCCACAAUAUCACAACUUCCUACUAACAACUUAACUUCAACUACCUUAGAAUUUCAAGACCACUCAAACUCUCUCAGCCAACCAAAACAAAAAUUAACACCCUCACUCCCGUAAGGAUUCGAACACAGAACCUCCAGC
rnacentral:lncRNA from 1 species